GGAGGGAACAUGGGGACAUUGGGGAAGAGGUGCCAGGGACAGUGGGGAAGGGCCACAGGGACAUGGGGACACUUUGAAAGGGACACUGGAGUGUCCUGGGACAAAGCAUGGCAGCAUCACCAUGAUGAGAUAGGGGCUGAUGGCAGUGGUGGCCUUUGUCCCCAAGCAUGGGGUGACACUGUUUUGGAGUGAAACAUCACCGUGGUGGGACAGGGGCUGACCCGGGUGGUGGCCUUUAUCCCCAAGCUGUGAUGGUUUUGGGACAAAAUGCACCAGUGUCACCAUGAUGGGACAGGUCAUGACAGAGGUGGUGGCCUUUGUCCCCAGCUGAUCCUUUUUGGGCUCAGCAACCAGCUGGUGGUGGCCUUCAAGAAGGAUUACACGGUGGCCUUCAAGCACCUGCUCCUCAAGGGCUAUGAAGAUGGUGCUGAUGACACCCAGGCCAUCUACAUCCACAGGGACCUCCUGGAACACCUGGCCUUUGUCCUCAAGAAGGGCUUCUUCUGCAGGGGGGACAUCGACUCCAGCAGUGACACCUUUGACAUUGACCCCAGCAUCGUCACCACUGGGGACACUCGGGAUUUGAGAGAUCCUGGGAGUGCACCCUGGGGACCCCCAGCUGCUGGCACUGGAUGGCACUGAUGGCAACUUCAUCCUCCAAUUCCACAGGCUGAUCAGUGUCACCGUGGAGUUCCAGCUCAAGCCCAUGUACAUCCAAACGCUGCUGAACCAUGAAAUCCCUGACUGCUACACCUUCAGUGUCGCUGCCCAAACCCUGAGCCCUGGGGUCACCGGUGUCCCCUGGAAGCCGGGCCAGCUCUGGAUCUCCUGGAAAAGGAAAUCAACAGCCCCUGGCUGGGGACUCGAGGGUAUCCAGGAUGGCGAGCACCAAGUCCAUGUGGUCCAGGGGGGACAAUUGGGGACACAGGUGGGGAAAAGCCUGGAGGGAGGAGGGUCAGAGGGGUAAGGGGUGGAGAGGGGGUUGGAGGGGAGGAUCCACCCAACAGUGUGCCAAAAGCAAGGGGAGGGCUCCUAAAUUUGGGGGAAAGAAUGGAAAAGAGAGAAAGGAUCCAAACCAGGGGGAAAAGGAUGCAAAAUAGGGGGUAAGGGACCCAUAAGAGGGGGAAAUGAUGCAAAAGAGGGGGAAAGGACCCAAAAUGGGGGGGGGGCAACCAAAAAUCAGAGGACAAAGGGUAUCGUGGCAUGUCACAGGGUGUCAGUGGGUGUCAUGGCACAUCUGUAAUGGAGUGGGCGAGUGGGCGCAGACGCUCUGCGCUGGGAGCAGCCACGGGAACAUCCUGAGCAGCACAACGACACCUUGAGAGACACGGGGACACCCUGCAGGACACAGCCAGGGACCAGCCGGGAUCGGAAACAGGGGCACACAGGGGAUAUGGGGACAGGGACUCACAAGGGGGGACAAGAAGACACAGAGGGGUGACAUGUAGCCACGGCAAGGGAUGGGGAGGGGAUACGAUGCCACCAGGACACACAUCGGGACAAUGUUGCCACACUUGUGCAGACACUGCCACCAGCAUGCCUCUGGUGACACCCAGUGCAGGGUCACAUGACCCCCAUGGGUGACACUGACUCUUGUACCCAGUUGUUCCCCAGGGGUGGUUGGUGUCCCCUGAGUGCUAUGGCCCUGGGACAGCCUGGUGCCUGUCACUCGCUUCUGGGCUACUUGUCACCAGCUGAACAAGGUCCCCGUCCUGCCCUGGUGGGUGGUGACAUUUGGCUGGGACACCACAGUGGUGAAAUAUCCCUAUUCAUGUCCAUGUAUCCCUGUGCCCCCAUACAUGUCCAUAUCCCCACAUGUCCCCACCCAUGGCAUUGUCCCCCAAAUGUCCCCAUCCAUGCCUUAGUUCAAUGUCAUUAUUUUUACCCCAAUUUCAGGAGUUUCAAAGGGAUGAACAGAAACCUUUUCGUUUCAAGGCCAAAACAAAAUUAUUUUUGUGUCUGUGCCAGCAGAGCAUCCACGUGCUUGGGUGGGUGGGAAGAACCUUUUUCGGAGGGGUUUCCAUCCCACUGUCUCCAAAAUCAGGGGGUUUGCCCCACUUUGUCCCCAUUUGGCUGUAGAAGAUGUCUGUGGGCCAGGGAGAAUUAAAACAAUGGAUUUAUGUUGGAGAAGACCUGCAAUGUUGUCCAGUAUUGCUUAAUGCCACUAGGAUGACACAAAAUGUGAGAUUUUUCUGCGGUCAGAUGUUGGCAAAUCUGCUCUCCACAACGGAUUUUGGAUGUUGGUCUGUGGAUGUGUCCAGGUGCUCACGGGGAGCCAGGGGGACAUGGAGCCCCCAGGCAGGUGUCUUCCCAACAUGGAUCACUGGCACCACGGAUCACCGGGGGUCACUGGGGAUCAUCCAGCCAGGAUCCUCCCAUGGAGGAUGGAGCUGGAGCAGCGCACAAAGCUCUUCCUGCACUCGGGGCACUCACAGGGCUUCCUUAGUGGUGCCUCCGUUGGUGUUGGGUCAAGGCUGAGCCUUGUGGGAAGCUCCUGACACAGUCGGGACAGUCAUAGGGCUUUUCUCUGGUGUGGAUGUGUCAGUGGCUGACAGGGUGGGAGUUGUGCCUAAAGGCCUUCCCACAGUCAGGUCAGCAGAAGGGCCUCUCCUCUGUGUGAAUCCACUAGUAAACAAGGAGGUGAGAGCUGGUCAGAAACCCCUUCCUGCAUUCCUCAGACUCGUAGGGCUUUUCCCCCGUGUGGCUCCUCA